GUAUUACCUAUGCAAUACUUAUCCUAAAAUUGAAACAACACAGAGAAGGUUAGCAUGGCUCCUGCACAAGUUUGAGAGCAACUGUGUAAAGUAUUCCAUUGAA